UUGGUGAACCAGCGGAGGGAUCAU
rnacentral:rRNA from 1 species